rnacentral:lncRNA from 1 species
UGGUGACUUCGUAAGAGGAAGAAAGAGAGAGGGCUCUCUCUCCAUGUGGUUGCACCAAAGAAAGACCUUCUGCAAGCCUGGAGAAAAGCCCUCACCAGAAGCCGAACCCUACCAGACCUUGAUUUUGGACUUUCUAACCUCCAGAACUAUGAGAAAAUAAAUUUCUGUUGUUGGAGCCACCCAAUCUAUGGUAUUUGUAGAGGCAGCCUGAGCUGACUAAUACAGUUGGGUACCCAACCCCGGAACCAAGAGGUGGAGUCAGCCCUGUUCAAACUGUGGGAAAGUGGGAAGGGGUAUCUCUCCCCCAAGGAAAGUCAUGGUGCUGCGGCUGGAAAAAGAUGGAUGAGAUGUUUUGUCAUGCAGAGAUGACAGCUGGCCACCUUGUUUGAAUAACUCUCUUAACCUAUCUUCUUUGCUUCUAUCUCCUGAUCUAUAAAAUGGGGUGCUACCAA